rnacentral:lncRNA from 10 species
CUCGUCUUAAUCAAGGAAUCCUGACUUAACCUUAUUCUUUCUCACAGACACAGUUCAAUGCUGCAAUGGAGCCUGUGGUGAGCACUGAUUCAAUAGGUGGUUUGCCUCCUUAGACGCAGAAUCACAGGACUAGAAGGAGUGAAAACAACACUUUAUCUCUACAUUGGCUUCAGGGAGGACAGUGCCCAAACCACCUCAAGUACAGAAUAAUUUACUCUCAUUUAGAAGAUCUCCAGACAGAGCUCGAAUGGCUCCCUUGGCAACAAAUUUUAGUUUUAACAAUCUUUGUAGCUUUAUCCUUCCCUCCAGAUAAUGCCAUAACUGUGUACUCUAGAUUAAACGUUUUCUCCUUUUCUGCCCACAGUGCUUUUGAAGCCAAACAUGAUUUCACAUAUAGUGUUGGGUCAUCAUUAAGUCACCUUUCAGAAGUCCCUCUAAAUUAAGGAGUCCUCAUCCUUUCCUUAAAUUUUUCAUGUGUCCUGACCUAUGAGAAUCUGUUAUACGCAUGUUUAAUUUCUAUGGAAUACCUCAUCAUACAACUUGAAAUUCUGAUUGACUAGUGGUUUUUUUCCUGCAUAAGUGCUACUUCAUCUAUGCCUCAGUAACAAACAACAACAAUCACUUAAUGGAAAUGGUGGCAGGCAGAAUUCUAAGAUAGCUGCCAGAUUCCUGCCGCCCCUGGUGUGCAUUCCUUGAUAAUCACUCUCCUUUGAGUGCAGGCAGACCUGUGUGUAUGAUACCACUGCUAUGAUUACAUUGCUCAUCAGGCGACUGUGAGCUAGCCAAAAUGGAGAAUAUUCUGGUGGGUCUGACCUAGCCAGGUGAGCCCGUUUCUGAGUCAUAGAGAUUGAAAGUGUGAGAGGGAUUUGAUGUGAGGGGGAAUUCUCUGUUGCUGGUUUUGAGUAUAAAAGGGGCCAUAUAAUAAAGACUUGAGAGUGGUCACUAGUUGCUGAGAUCCAUCCCUAAUUGAAGCUAGCAAGAAACACUUCUACCAACAACUUGAAGGAAUUUGGAAAAGAAUCCUUCCCUAGUCAAGUCUCUAGAGGGGAAUGCAGCUAACUGACACCUUGAUUUCAGCCUCGUGAGACCCUGAACAGAGAUAUCAACCACUCAGUUGCCUGGACCUCUGACAGAAAUGAAAGAUAAUAAAUGUCUGUUGUUUUAAGCCACUAAGUUUAUGGAAAUUUGUUACACAGCAAUGGAAAACCAAUAUAGGCCCCUAUCCAUGAGUUACAUUGUAGUAAACACCUUUCCUACAUUAUAGAUAUCUCAUCUAACUCCUACAGCAACCCUUGAGGUAAUCACUGUGUCCAUUGUCAGAGCAAGAAAACUGAAGCUCGGCUUCAUAAACAGAAGCAGCAAGGAUUGAUUCCUUAAAUACUGUGAAUUCCACUCUCACUUUAUUUGAAUUUGUGACAGUGAAAUUCACAGUAUUCUUUAAACAUUUUACCCCCAAGCGAUGCUCUUUCCUCUGAAUUGCUUUGCCUGUCCUAAUAAUUUUAUUUAUACAGGCUGAUGCUGGUGACUUGGGAAUAGUAUUUUUAUCCAAACCAUUUGGCUUCUUAUAGGUAUGAGCCACUGAGGGAGCUAUUUUUUAUUUAAUUGUGCUUUGGAAAAAUCAAACGUAGCCUUGAGUUUUAAAAUUAUUAAGCUUACACUUUUUCACAAAAUAGAAAUGGAGUAAUAUAGCUCUGUCCUUCCGUUUUUUAAAGCCAAAAAAUGUAAGAAUGGAAUGUACUGGCUCACUGCUCCCACGGUGUCCUUACCAGCACAACUUACCCCAUCCCUCCCUAGCCCACUCUUGAGGAUACUUUCUUGCCACUGUCAGGCUUACUCCUGCCUCCUAGACUGAGGAAAGAAAAGCCUCCUGGUUUGGAGCUCAUAAUCAAGUCAGCCUUGCUGCAGGGCUCAUUUUAAGCCAGUAUCCUGGACCAGAUAAGGAAGCUGAAGCUUUGAGAAUUUAAUUUGCUCAAGGGGAGGCCAGGACAAGAAAUAAUGAAGAGUCCGAUGUGGCAGGAAUGUAGGAAACAAGUCAAUGAUGGAAGAUAAAUAUGGAGACGUGAUGAAGGCAAAAUUCUGAAGGGUCUUAGAGCCCAUUAUAAGACGUUUGGUUUUUAUGACUAUGCCGUGCAAGACUUGGUAAACUGGUCCCUACCGCAGAGGAUUUUAUACAGAGCACGCUAGUGGCUCACAGGUAGUGUCUUAUUGAAUGUUGAAUUUCCACACUUUUGACUGCAUGAAUCAGUAAAUACUUGGGUUUAUUUUGCCACAUAGAGGUCUACAUUGGUUUGAUACAAGUAAAUAGCAAUAAUGAUAAGAGUCACUGCCAUUAAUGGAGUGUCUCCUUGAUACCAGACACUGUCUCAGAUAACUUGAAUUAACUCUUUAAACCCACAUGGCCCUGGUCCUGAAAGGUGGUAUUAUUCAUUUUUAUAGAUGAGGAAACUGAGACACAGGCAACACUACUUCAACAUUGGCCCCAAACCAUUUUUAUUUGCCCUGAGUAAUUUGCUAGUUCUCCUCUUUCAGUAUGCCAGUCUUCUCUAUCCAUUGGUCUAUAGUUGGUUGCAAUUCGUCUUUGUCACCUGUUCCUGACACUGACCAAUUACUGACCAUAUCUCCCUAUUCUCUGCCAUGUGAUAACCUUUGGUUCUCCCAAAUAAACUCUUUCCUUAUCUCUACUCUAUUGAAACCAACCACCCCUCUCUCCACACAGAAUAUUUCACUGAUUGCCUUGCCCGCUUCUCAAAGGCCCACUUCUCUGUGGAAUGAUGCAGUUGCUAAGAAGAGCUGUUAAUGUCAUGACCUCAAUGAAUAAAAAAGACUUCCUUUUCUCCAUGCCCACUCAAGUAAAAGGCUUCUCUCUGAACUCCUGCUAAUUUUUCAUCAGCAAAGGUGCACAGCCUUUUGGAAGUGAAAUGAUUACUAGUGAAGAAAAAGAAAGAACCUAACACUUAUUUUACAGUAAGUAGCAAGUUGAUCUCCAUUAGGGUCAACCCUCUGGGGUGCUCUGGCCCUUCCCUUUAUGUUCUGAGACAGAUACAUCCCUGAGAAAAUUCUAGUCUCUUCUAAUCCUGGAAUAAUUUAGGGAAGCAAGUCUUGAACUUCUUCCAUCAAAGCCCAAGAAGUAACCAUAAAAGAUGUCUUAAGGGUUCUAGAAACACAUCACCAAGGGGAUUGGAUAAAAAUGUGAAAUUUGUUUAAAACCUGAAAUGUUCACUUUUAAAAAGCAUGCAAAUUGUGACUACCCUUCCACAAUGUAUUUGUUUUACUGCAAAAAUAAUUUAAAUGUCUUUCAGAUUAAAUUAUGAAAAUAUUUACCUCCAAAUUUUGGCAUGAAGUUAAAACUCCUGGAUAAUGUGCUAUGUUUAUUCUGUGGGUUUUUAUAUCCCUGGCACACUGCCAUGUAUCUUGCCGAAUAGCCAAAUAUUAGGAUAUUAUACUACCCUGAUGAUUUUGCUAAAUAAUUAUUAUGCCAAACAAGACAGUAAUUCAAAGAAGGACAAGUGUCUGAACUCUUGUUCUUUCAGAAAGCUUAAGAGUAGUAGUGAGUGCAUCUGCUGCGUGACUCCUGCAAUCUCAGCAUCUGUUUCUAGUUAGAGAGCCAGUGAGUAAAUUGAAUCAGGGUCACUGAAGCAGGUGUUCUUGGUGAAUUGCAGAGCCUCCCAGUGACCACUCUUCAGACAAAACUUCUUAUAAUAGCUUCCUUCCCUGAAUCUUUUGCGAAACAUCAAAUCACAAAGAGAUCUUAUUGUGAGUAUUACCUAAAAUUUUUUCCUGUCUUAUGUAGCAAAGAGGGAAGUCACUGAGUCAGCUUAGAUAUGUGUAUGUGUUCUAAAAAAAAUGAAUGUAUCCAUGUGACUUUUUUUUCUUUUUUUUUUUUUUUUGAGAUGGAGUUUUGCUCUGUCACCCAGGCUGGAGUGCAGUGGCGUGAUCUCUGCUCACUGCAACCUCCACCUCCUGGGUUCAAGUGAUUCUCCUGCCUCAGCUUCCCGAGUAGCCUGCCACCACACGUGGUUAAUUUUGUAUUUUUAGUAGAAAUGGGUUUUCACCAUGUUAGCCAGGCUCGUCUCAAAUUUCUAACCUUCAGUGAUCUGCCUACCUUGGCCUCCCAAAGAGCUGGGAUUACAGGAAUGAGCCACCGCACCUGGCCCCAUGUGACUUUAAUAUUUUACUGCAUAUCUUCCUCGGCAAAUAACUAAAUCCUGUCAUGUGGGAGGGAGUUUGGAAAUAGUGCUUAGGAACCACCCACUAUCUCAUUUGUGAAGUCCGUUGCCACUUGCGGGGGGCGCCAGGCAAUGACAUCAACAGACUUAUCUGGUUAUGUCUUUGAGCCUUGGAUCCUUGUAAUUGUUUUGCUUGAUAAAGCUAUCUUUUGUUAUAAAAGACUUUGCCAAAAAAAAGUCUUUGGCUUAAGGCAUUUAAAUAAUGCAAGCUUCAAAGUUAGUGAACAGAUUAUGAAAAAUGUCUGAAUAGUAAUUUGGAAGGCAAUUUGCACAUAUAUUUCUAUCUGGAAGAAUAAUAGUUUGUAAACGAAAUACAUCUUAGGCCAUAAUUAUAAGUGUCAGAACAUGAAAGGAUUGGUGAAUUGGAGAAACAGAAAUUAAAAAUAAAACUUAAAAAAAUAAGUCAGAAUAUCAUAAUGGUACAAAAUAAAUGAGACAAUAGAAACAUAGACAUUUCCCUAAUUCAUAAUGUAGUUAUUUGUUCUGGAGAUUUGUUCAUUAUUGUAAAAACUAGCUACAUUUAAUCGUUUUAAUUGUUGUUAUGAAAAUACUUUGCUUCAUUUAUUUUAAAUAUAUCCUACUAAAAAAAGAGUAUAUAUAAAAACACAUGUACAAUUUAGAACAUAACGUUAAAACAAACACUUACGUAUUUUCCAACCAGCAAAAGGAAAAGAACCUUAAUGGUGAUCUUGUGUAUUUGUGUCCAGAUGCGUUUUUCUCCCUUUACCUGGGGUAACAAUCAUUGCAUAUUUUGUGUUUAUCAAUUCUUUCCUUUAGAAAUGCUUAUCCAUUUGUGUAUUUAUGCCUAAACAAUAGAUGGUUUCAUUUCGCUUGUUUUGAGCUUUAUUAUAUUUGUUUGUAGUCACCAUGGAUGUAACCUUUUUCCACGCAAAAUUAGCUUUCUAAGAAUCAUCCAUGUUGGUGGAUAUAGCUCUGUGAUAUUCCAUCAUGUGAUACUGCAAGUUAUAACUCUAGUUAUAUAUCUAUUUUCCAAUCAAUGAAUAUUUACAUUGAUCCAAAUUUUCAUUAUUAUGCACAGUCUGGCAAGGAAGACUCAUAUAUGACUCCUGGUACAUGGGUACAAGGAUUCUAUAGGCUAUAUACCUAAUCGUGGAAUUGUUGAGUCUCAGAGUAUUCAAAUGUUCAACUUGACACAUUAUCAUGAAACUGUUCUCCAGAGUGGCUUUCCAAUUUACUCUUCCACCAAAAAUGUGUUCCUAUUGAUCUACAUCUUCUCUAGAACAUCUUAUUUUAGGUAAUUUAAUUUUUUCAUUGUUAUGAAAUGGUAUCUCACUGUCUUAUGCAUUUCUCUGGUUAAUAAUGAGAUUGGUCAUAAAUUCAUAUGUUCAUUGUGAAAUGUCUAUUCUUUUGUUGCCCAUUUCAUCUAUUGGGAUGGCUAUCUUCUAACCGAUUUUACAUAGUUCUAGUGGUUGUUUAUGCAUUCUGGAAACCGGUUCUUUAUUAAUCAUAGGUGUGGCAUUAUGGUUCACAUUGUUACUCUCUUGCUAUACUGUGAUGAACAGAAGUUUUUCAUUUUCAUGAAGUAGACUUAUCAACAUUUUCUUAUGUUUUAGAUGUUUAUUUAGAAACCCUUCUCUACAAACAUUCUAAUAUUUUCUUUUAAAAGUUUUGAAGUUUUGACUUUUACAUUUAAAUUAUUAAUCAAAUUAGAAUUAUCUUCCAUAUACAUGUGAGUCCUCAAUUCUUGCUCCAUUAAACAAUUUAUCCUUCCUCGCAUCAGUAUCUUCCCACCUUAAUUGCUAUUGGAUUAUAAUAACUCUUGAUAUUUGGUGUGCCAAAUUCCCCCAACAUAUUAAUCCUUUCGGAUAUUCUAUUCUCAGCCCUUUAUUUUUCCAUAUGAAACUCAGAAUCAUGAAGUUUAUUUAAAAUUCUGCUAGGAUUUUGAUAAAAAUUUCCAUAAAAAACUUUUCAGUUUGACAUUGUUAGGACUGAGUUUUCUUAUCCAUGAAUGUGAAAUAUCUGUGUUAUUUUAUCUGCAAAAUAAAGAUAAAGAAAUAUCUUUAUUAUUGUUUAAUGUUUUUAUGAAAAGUUCAUGAUUUUUUAUCUAGAGGUAUCACACAUCUUUUUUUAGAUAUAUUCUAGGAUACUUUUUAGUUUUGUUGCUUUUGUAAGUGUUGUCAUGUUGGGAGUCUCUGAGAACCUCCUCAAGCUUGAUGACCCACUAGAAGGACUCUCAGGACUUAGAAGUGGUUAUAUUGAUGGUCACAGUUUAUUAUAACAAAAAGACACAGAUAACAAUAAACAAAGAGAAAAGGCACAUGGGGUGAAGUUCAGGAGAAAUAAGGCACAAGCCUUCAGGUAUUCCCCUCCCAGGAGUAAAUAUGCUAACUGAAGCACACAAAAAAAGAAAAGAUAAAUGCAAAAAAGAGCAUAAAAUAUAUAUGACAUAGUUUUAAAAAUGUGUAACAUGCAUGUAAUUGAAGUAUCAGAAAGAAUGGAGACAAGGAAUAGGGGAAGAAGGAAUAUUUGAAGAGAUAAUAACCAAAAACUUUCUAAAACUAACCCACAAAAUCAAGAAAUUCUGAAGAAACUAGAAAAGAUACAUGCAAAAUAAAUCCCAUUUUGGCUCAUAGUGAACUCCUGAAAGCCAAGGACAAGGACCAAUUACUUAAAGCACCCAAAAAAAAACAACAUUGCUUUCAUAAUAGCAAUAAAAGACUAAUAACUGAAUUUUCUACACAAAUGAUGGAAGCUGGAAGAUAUAAAGAUCAUAAGGAUAUAUUCUAUUCCUGGAAUUGAUGUGCCUUGGUCAUAAUGUCUUUUUUAAAAUACAAAGUUGUAAUCAGGUUUCUAAAUAGUUUAAGAUUUUUGCAUCUAAUUGUUUGGAAAGUUCCCCCUUUUUUAUACUCAUAUCUGCAUUAGCUAUCAAGGCUAAAAAUGACUGCUUUAAAAGAGUUAAGGAAAGUUUCCUCUUUGUUAUACCUAUGAAAAAGUUUAUAUACAAUUAAAAUUUGAUGAUAACAUUUGUUAUAUUUUCUUAUAGAACUAUUUGUAUUUGGUGUUCUAUUUAUGAGGAGGCUUUUAAAAUAUUGAUUUGACUUCUUUAGUAGUUGUAGGGCACUGAAGUUUUCUGGUACUCUAACUGCAGCCCACGUAACUUAUCUUAUAUUCUCAUUAUCAUUUAGUUCUAAGUAUUUUUUUACUUUCUAUUAUAAAGUAUUCUUUGACCUAGGAGGUAUUUAGAAGUUUGCUUUUAAACUGUCAAAUGUAUGAAAUUGUCUUAAUUUUCCUUUUAUUACUAAUAGCUACAUUAUUUUCCUUCUUGUGAGAGAAGGUAGUCUGUGGUACUUUUGGAAAUAUUUAAAGACUUUUUGGCCUAGUAUGUGAUAAAUUUGUGAAAAUGUUCCUUGCAUGUCAAAAAGAAUUAUCCAGAAUUAUCCAAUAAUUGGAUAAAUGUUCUUAAUAUGUUUAUUAGGACAUUCAUGUUCAUUGUGUUUACAAUUUCUAUAACAUUGCUAGUUUUGAUCUGCUUUUCAUGUCAAUACCUGAGAUAGGUCUGUUUAAAUUUCUUACUAUAAUGGUAGAUUUGUUACAAUUUCAUUGUAGCCUGUACAUUUUUGCUUUAUAUAUGCUGAAUAAAUGUUAAUAUGUGCCCAUAUAAGCUUAAACAUUAUAAUUACUUUAUCUUCCUGGAAAAUUGUAAUUUUCAUCAAUAUGUGCUCACCCCCUUUUUAUCUGGUAACUAUUUUGACCUU